AUCCAGCUGACGAGUCCUAAAUAGGACGAAACGCGCGUCCUGAAU
rnacentral:hammerhead_ribozyme from 1 species